CGUCCGGCGGGGGCGACCCCAGGGAAAGUGCCACAGAGAGCAAACCGCCAUGCAUCGCAUGGUAAGGGUGAAAGGGUGGGGUAAGAGCCCACCGCGCUUCUGGUAACAGCGGCGGCAAGGUAAACCCCACCGGGAGCAAGACCGAAUAGGGAUGACACGGGGCGGGCGAAAGCCCGUUCACAGCCGGUUUCCGGGCCCGUCAUCCGGGUGGGUUGCGCGAGGCGGCAUGCAAAUGCCGUCCCAGAUGAAUGGCUGCCACGUUCCGGGUCAAACCGGGGCCAUACAGAACCCGGCUUA
rnacentral:misc_RNA from 1 species